ensembl:lncRNA
CUACAGAUGGUUAACUGCUUAGCAUGGUGUGGAAUUUUACAUGUCCACCCUCUCAGUGCUAGCUCAUCUCCAAGAAGGCUAGGACACUUCCCUGGGGCUGAAUGUACUGAUAAUACUCCCCUACUGUCUCUUUAAAGCAAACAAAAAUCCUCACAGCAGGGGAAUUCUUUGUUCCAUCAACCUAGGCCAAGUUCUAACAACUGUCCUAGUUUCAGUCUAGAGCCUCUAAUUACUAUGAUUUCUCCUGUGGUGGCCUGAAGAGCAAAGGUAUUUUGCGUUCAGCGAGAUUCCAAGGGGUGCGUGAGUCUUGCAGAAGCAUUUCUAGUAUGGACUAAAAAAGCCUAUGCUUCGCAGUUGCCGUAGAAACCUGACGUCAUAGGGCGACCGUGACGAAUUUUUAAUAAGCCCUGAUUUGGAGAGCAGGUCUCGACCUCAGAAGUUUGGGACUCAGCUGAGAGUGUGGGGUCCCGCUGAGGGGGCUGAACCGCCUUGGAGUGUGAGGAGACAGAAGAAUCCAGAUCCAGCUUUUCCCGCUUUGGGGCUCGGUGCCCCGGCUGUCUUGUAUGUAAAGCCAUUGUGGUCCCUCCCAGCUCCAGUGAGUGUAAGUGUUCCUGCUGGGGUGUCCUGGAGCUGCUUUCCUCUAAAGACAAGGAUGCGGGAGGUUAGGACAGUGGAACAACAGACAGGCAUGUGAAUUCUGAGCCCUGAAAACAGGAACCGAUAGAGAAGAACAAAGUGUGAUGUAGAGUGUGCUAGACUGGUUCCUAGAGCAAGAAUGAACAGAUCAGGGUCCCAUCAUUGGGACACUUUAGGUAAGUCACUAUGCUUCCACCAGCCUUGUCUAUACAACAGGAUAACAGUACCCAAUUCUCCCAACCACCUGGGAGUAUUAUGAAAUUUAAGUGUGAUCCCAUGUGGGAAAGCAAUCUGUGGUCAUAUGUGUGAGGGAAGGACCAGUGUGCUUUUGAGUAAUUACAUUAACAGAGACACCACAGAUAUCAUUGAACUCUGAAUGGGAGACAUAAAAUUAAUGGUACACAAACAUCAGAUGCUUAGGUCAGGAUUUCUCCAAAUGUAGUCUUGCAGAAGUCCAGGGGAGGGAUGAGGGUGGAUUGACCCAGUACUGCCACAGUGUGCAAAUGACAAGGGAUAGCCUUGGACAGGAUGUGUUGGUGAUAGGACAGGUGGGGCCUGAGGUGGCUGUGCGUGGGGGUACAUGAGGAUAAUUCUGAAUGAAGGAUGAGCACUUGGCUUUUGUUCAGCCAAGUGCAGACACGGUGGUGGUGUUUCCUGAGAUCGGUUGUUCCAUGCACUUUUGAGACAUUCUCAUGAUAAUUAGGUAAGCAAAAGUAGUUAUGGUAAAAGCGAUUUACAAAAUGGAUCAUUUAAUGAAUAGGAUUUAGUUGUAAAACUAUUACACUUUAUUAAACACACAUGCAGACUAUAAAACUAUAUAAAUAUCAUAUUGUAAGUAUUUAUUUAAAGUAGCUAGCAUUUUUGAGCUGUUACUGUGCACCCAGCAGUGUUCUAAUAGUGUAUUAACUCAAUUCUCAAAACAAUAACCCAUGACAUAGGGGUGAUUGUAUUUUCCAUUUUACAGAAGAGGAAACUGAGGCACAGGUUUUUUAAUCUCCAAAGAUCACAGAGAGCUAGGUAUCCCAAAGUCUUUGCAGAAUUUUUUAAAUAAUAGGAUUGUGGACUAUUUAUUCUUGUAAAGACCAAAAUUCAAAGCAAUGUUUAUUUAAAACUGCUGUGUCUUCUAUAGUAACGCACAACCCCAAUUUUCUACAUGAGGCAAUCGAGUGACUGUAAGGUGAAGAAAAAGAAUUCAGACUCAUACAGAACUAGGAUUUGGACCUGGUCUGUCUCCAGAAGCCACAUUCCUAACCAGUACCCUUAGGGAGGAAGAAAAAGACAUUUGUUGCACUAUGUCAACCUACUAUGGGUGAUGUUAGGUCAGGACCAUCUGUAUCUCUUUGGGUGGAAACUAUGUUUCAGUAGGCGUUUGCAGUGUACCAAAUGGUAUUUAUUUAAGAAAAACGAAAAGGUAGUGAUUAUAGACAAAAAAAUGUGUCAAAGAUGAACAAAGCUAGACCCUGGUUAAAGUGGUAAGGACAGAUUUUAAUCAGCAAUAUACUUUUGCGACAGGGAAGAGUCCAGUAUGAACUCAUCUCAACUUCAAUUUGUCUAGAGGUGACUGAGAAGUUUAAAGGGAACAUGAGGGAAUAGGGAGAGGAGUGAGUAGGAGUUAAGUAGAUUCAAGCAAGUGAAAAAUUACAAAAAUAAUGAAGUAGGUUUCAUCCAGGUGAAACCCAUCAGAGUUUGUUAACUGGCUUUUAUUCAAGUUAGAUUUCUAUUCUCCCACAGAGGCUGGAGGCAGGGGCCGUAUCUUCAGGUGCUAGCUGGAACAAACAGUAAAUUGUUCUGGAAGCCUUGCGUUUUCUCAGGCGAUCACUUUAAAGGGGUUUAGGCUCAUCUUAGAGAUGCAGCCUUCAGCUGUUAGAAACUAUGGUAGUGUUUAGAUCAAGACUUAAUUGUCCAGGGUUGAGGUGUAGUCAAGAAGAGUGCUAAGAGGAGUAUGCCUAGAGUUUUGUCCAGGAGACAAUCUUCGUCAAAGGUGAUAAUUAUAAAAAAGAGAAUAAUCAUGAAAAUUACUAUGAAUUAGACAAAUUCUGUUAAAAUAAUUCCUUGGACUUUCAUGGUAAUUUUUUUUCCCUCUUAUGAACCCAAAGUGCUUUUCAGAUGGGAAUCACAUUGCUCUGUGUUCUAGGCUUUGUUAGAUGGGAGGCAGGGCUGAUGUGACCACUCUUGAUAGGUGAGGCCAGAGGAGGUGUGGUAUUUUACCCAGGGUCACCUAGAGUUAGUGGGUUAGGUUCGCCUAUGGAUCCAAGUAUGUCUCUUGACUGGUACUCAUUUUUCUGUACAUCAAAUAUAGCACUAGCCUUGUUCUUAUACGUAGUGAAUCACUUUAAGAGCUCACAGGAUAUGUUCUCUUUAAAGUUAACCUGCAAGUAAUAUACAAAGACACUGAGUCUCUUCAAAUAAAAAGAAAUAGAGUAUUGAUUAUCCUCUCCUU